UGUGCUUGAUCGAACCUGGAAUCUCUAAACCCUCGGGUAUUGAUGGGCACCACUUAGGCCAGGGGGUCCAAACCUUAAACUUGCAGUUUCAGUUUUCCUUAUCAAACGAAGCGUCCCUCAUUUCACAAACAUCACUGACUUUUAGUUCUCCGCUGGCCCAGGAUGAGGAGCCUGGUACCUCACGGUCAGGACCCGACUGUCAGCCCUGCUGGUGCCCCCAGCUCGGCCGAGGGACCAGUGCGCAUGUCUGGGCUGGGGAGCGCCGGACCCCGGGGGUCUGCGAGCGAAACCCGCCCGUUCCCUCAGCGCCUCCCACGGGGACCCCUCAGUGACGUGCUCCCGGCCACAGAGGCCGGCACCCUCCUGCUCAGGCCAGAAACCCACGAAGCGCAGUCAGGUUUGGGGUCCGCCUGCAGCCGCGAGGCCCCGGCGGGCGCUGAAACGAAAGGCAGACGAGGGAAGCAGCGCCAGGGGACCGAGGCGCCGCGGGCCGCGUAGCCGGGCGAGGGCACGCUGCGCCGCCGCGACGAGCGCCUUGGGCUGGCUUAUCUCGGGGACGCGGCUCCAGCCGGAGCGCCGCCGGCACCGCCGUGCGCAGACCCGAGGCCUGGGCCCCCGCUUCUGGCUGCCGGCCCGCGCUCCGCGUUCUCCGCGCACUCGGGCCCGCCUCUAGGCCGUUUUCGCUUUCGCUUUCUUGCCGAGAGCGUUGAGGAAAAUGAAAGUGGCAGUGUCCAGAGCCUGCGCGGCAGCCGUCGGGCGAGGGGCGCACCGUGCGGGGCGGCCAGCCUGGAGCGGGCGAGCCGGAGCCUCAGCCCGCACCCGGCGAGAUGGCGGUAGGCCCUGGACUUCCCUGCACUGCAGGCAGUGAUGAGGCUGGGCAGCAGAGAAAGGAGAAAAUGGACUCCCUCCUCCUGUAGACAAGAAUGCCAGCUACCAGCCAUGGCUGCCAGUUUGCAGCCUGCUGAAGGAAAACAACAUCAAGGUAAAAGAACAAUAAGACUUUGUGUCGGUUUAAAACUUCUCAACUUGAAAGGCCUUGAAAUGUGUUCAAUGAAGACCCAGAGGGCUGAAAGUGUUGGCAGUCAAAUAAAAUGAAGGUGCGGGAACUCGUGUUGACUUCUUGGUUAGAGUGAGAGCUGGGGACAGUGAGAAACAGCUAAGUAUUGAGGAAUGGGUCAGCAGAGGUGACUCUCCAGUCUUCAGACCCAGGAAGACAAUGCUUCCCUUGGGAAAACCUGGCACCCUCCCCCACGCCAGCCAGUCACGGGCCCACCGCCUGGUCCUCCUCCCCUGAUUUCCUCCCUCCAGGCCUCUCCUCUUCUUUGCUCUCUCCGGAGGUUCCACCCUGCCUGCUGAAGUCAGAGCAGGCCUUGGCAGAGUGUUUGGGCUUUUUGGUUUUUUUUAAAGCAAGAAUGGUUUGGUUCUAAAUCUAGAGGACUAUAUAGGAUGCUUCCAGCAUAGAGGGGUCUCUGUUUCUGUGUUAAAUCACAGUCCAAAUUUUUAAAAGUGAAAAUAUUCAGUAAAUAAUGAAUGUGGGGGGAAUGUGCAACGAUGUGUACUGCUGAUGUGAUUGGAAAAGGGGCCGCUUUUAAAAAUGUAUCUAGCUUUUGUCCAAGCAGUUCUACCAUCUGGAAUUUAUCCUCUGGAAAUAAACACAUUUUUGUAAAGGUGGAUGAAUAAAGAUAUUUAUAACUGCAUUGUUUAUAAUAGAAAAAAAAGGAAACAUUGGAAAGCCCAACAAAAAGGAGUUGGUUGUUUAAAAUCUGGCAUAUCUACACAAAGACCUGUCUUGCAUGCAACAGCAUGACCUAGGGGUGUAUAUAUAUUAAUGAGAACAAUGUUUGCGUAUACUGCUAGGUUUAAAAAAAAAAGUGUAUGGUCAGGCCACUCAGAAGAGCGCUUCUCUUUUUUGUUUUGUUUUGUCUUUUAACUAUAAUUUUAUUUAUUUAUUUUUGGCUUUGCUGGCUCUUCACUGCUGCUCAGGCUUUUCUCUGGUUGCAGAGAGUGGGGUCUCUUCUCCCAUUUGUGAUGCGAGGGCUUCUCAUUGCGGUGACUUCUCUUGUGGAACACGAGUCCUAGGGCACACAGGCUUCAGUAGCUGCGGCACGUGGGCUCAGUAGUCGCGGCUCCCCGGCUCUAGAGCACAGGCUCAGUAGUUGGCACGCAGGCUUAGUAGCUCAUCAGCAUGUGGGAUCUUCCUGGAUCAGACCUUGAUCCCACGUCUCCUGCGUUGGCAGGUGGAUUUUUCACCACUGAGCCACCAGGGAAGCCCAGAAUGGUUGGAUCAGUGCCUACUUCACCUACACCCUAUUCACAUGACUGACCUUCCUAUAUAUGCUUGCCACAGGCCCCAACUAGAGAUUGUUCUUGUCCAAGAGGCAGUGAAGGGCGUGCCCCUCUGCUAGUUUCCCUGGUAACCGAUGAGCCAACCUGCCCUCUA